rnacentral:lncRNA from 7 species
UUGAUUCUGCCCAGCAUCGUCUACAUUUCUUGCUGGGUAUGUCUUGCCGCAUCUCAUUUUGGUCCAAGCUGCACCAUGAUCCAGCACAGCAGUAUGUAUGGCUCGAACUGUUCUGGGUCUCAUAAGACUACCGCACCCUGUAAAUAUAGUAGUGGGUCUAUAUUUUGGUGAAAUGUCUGCAAAAAAGGUUAUCUAGAUGUUGCAGAUGUCCUGUCAAACUGAUGACAUUA